rnacentral:tRNA from 1 species
UCCCUGGUGGUCCAGUGGUUAAGACACUGUACUCCCAACGCAGAGGGCUGGGGUUGAAUCCCUGGCCAGGGAA